AGCCGUCGCCUCUCCUUGCUCUGCUCCUCUCUCUCCCAAGCGGCUCUCCCUCUAUCUCCUCGUUUCUCUCCCCUCCUCUUCUACAGCCGCUGCCAGGCAACCGACCGCCGAGCAGCGCAGCCACCCGAGCCCCACGCCCGCCGCGCCAGGAACCAGCGCCCCUGCUCUCGCCAGGACGCCAGGAAUUGCUCUUUCUAUAGCAAGUUUAUGAGUUCAGUUUAUAUUCCAUUGAAUAUUUGUUGCAGUGAAGAGAAAUGAGAGAAAGCCUUCGGUUGUAGCCUUCAGUUUAUAUUCCAUUGAAUAUUUGUUGCAUCCGACUCAUCUCUGUUUCGAUUCCAUCCGGUUUGGCUCAUUUUUUAAUCGAGUGUGUUGUAGUUUUGUACCCUAAUGUCGUGGGAGUGCUACCGAAGUACUGAUAGCAUCACUUUAAUUUCAUUAGCUCCGUCCUGGCAAUCACUUUGGGAAGGUGGUCAGUGGAAUAACUUUGCUUAAAAAGCUUGAAGCAGUUGGUAGUGAAACUGGAAAUCCUUCUUAUCAAGUGAAAAUUGUAGACUGUGGUGAAGUUUCCAACACAAAUUCUCAGGAUCCGCUAAAGGGAGAUAAAGUAAGCUCAAAGACAGAUAACAGCAGUUCAGACAGUGAAAAGGGUGGCCAUCGUACCAAGCGUUCCUUGACGAAAGGUAGUAAUCUAAUUCCAUUAGAUUUAAUGUGUGGGUUACAUAUUUGCUAUCGACAUAUCCUAGUGGACUAGUUACUUUUGAGUGGCUAAUGAAAGAUCUCGAAAUUACAAUUCAGAAGAUAGGUAUGUCUAUUAACUACAUUAACAUAGCUCAGGUAUGAAAGACACGUUUGCCGAGUGUGAAACACUCGGCAAAGGUGGCGCUCGGCAAAGGGCCGUUAGUGGUCGUCCUAAAGCUAACGACCGUCAGUCUUUGCCGAGCACCGAGGAUUGGACACUCAGCAAAGGACUCUUUGCCGAGUGUCUUCUCUAGACACUCGGCAAAGUAUAUUUUUAUUUUUUUGAUUUUGUCUCCCAAACUUUUUGUGGUAUGUUCCUACACUAUGUAGACCUACAUGUAUCAUUUGUGGACAAUUAUAACAGAGUUUUCAAUCGUU
rnacentral:lncRNA from 1 species